rnacentral:rRNA from 1 species
UGAGGAAUAUUGGACAAUGGGCGCAAGCCUGAUCCAGCAAUGCCGCGUGCAGGAUGAAGGCCUUCGGGUUGUAAACUGCUUUUGUACGGAGCGAAAAGGUCUGCCCUAAUACGGUGGGCUCAUGACGGUACCGUAAGAAUAAGCACCGGCUAACUACGUGCCAGCAGCCGCGGUAAUACGUAGGGUGCGAGCGUUAAUCUGAAUUACUGGGCGUAAAGCGUGCGCAGGCGGUUAUAUAAGACAGAUGUGAAAUCCCCGGGCUCAACCUGGGACCUGCAUUUGUGACUGUAUAGCUAGAGUACGGUAGAGGGGGAUGGAAUUCCGCGUGUAGCAGUGAAAUGCGUAGAUAUGCGGAGGAACACCGAUGGCGAAGGCAAUCCCCUGGACCUGUACUGACGCUCAUGCACGAAAGCGUGGGGAGCAAACA